GGUCACCUACUCCUGAGACGUUAUCAUGUAGCCAGCUUGAAGUUCUCCUAUAAAGGUAAAUACCCAGAAGUGGAAUUGCUGGAUCACAUGGUAGUUCUAUUUUUAAUAUUUUGAGGAACCUCCAUUUUGUUUUUCCAUAGAGGCUGCAUCAAUUUACAUUCUCAUCAACAUCAGAGUGGAGUACGCCUCAUUAAAAGC